AUAAUGACGACGACGACGACGACAACAACGACAAUGACGAGAACAACGAUAAGAACGAUAACAACGACAAUGACAACAACGACAUUAACGACAACAACGACAACAACAAAAACAACAACAACAACUACAACAACAAAGAAGAAGACGACGACGAGGACAACAACAAUAGCAACAACAACAACAACAACAACAACAACAACAACAACAACA
rnacentral:lncRNA from 1 species